GAUCCUGGCUUAGGAUGAACGCUGGCGGCAGGCUUAAUACAUGCAAGUCGAACGGUAAGGUCCGAAGUGGCAACACGGAGGAUACACGAGUGGCGCACGGGUGCGUAACGCGUAUGCAACCUGCCCCCGACCGGGACAAAACAGCUGGAAACGGCUGCUAAUAUCCCAUGGUCAUGCGGAAGGGCAUCCUUCUUCAUGUAAAGAUUCAUUGGUCGGGGAUGGGCAUGCGUAUUAUUAGGUAGUUGGCGGGGUAACGGCCCACCAAGCCGACGAUGAUUAGGGGUCCUGAGAGGGUUAACCCCCACACUGGAACUGAGACACGGUCCAGACUCCUACGGGAGGCAGCAGUAGGGAAUAUUGGGCAAUGGGAGCAAUCCUGACCCAGCCAUGCCGCGUGAAGGAAGACGGCCCUAUGGGUUGUAAACUUCUUUUGCCGCAGAGUAAACCCGGUCACGAGUGGUCGGUUGAGAGUAUGCGGCGAAUAAGUAUCGGCUAACUCCGUGCCAGCCGCAGC
rnacentral:rRNA from 1 species